UACGUAGGGUGCAAGCGUUAAUCGGAAUUACUGGGCGUAAAGCGUGCGCAGGCGGUUAUGCAAGACAGAUGUGAAAUCCCCGGGCUUAACCUGGGAACUGCAUUUGUGACGUGAUAGCUGGAGUGCGGCAGAGGGGGAUGGAAUUCCGCGUGUAGCAGUGAAAUGCGUAGAUAUGCGGAGGAACACCGAUGGCGAAGGCAAUUCCCCUGGGCCUGCACUGACGCUCAUGCACGAAAGCGUGGGGAGCAAAACAGG
rnacentral:rRNA from 1 species